AUUGAACGCUGGCGGCAGGCUUAACACAUGCAAGUCGAGCGAGCGGCGGACGGGUGAGUAAUGUCUGGGAAACUGCCUGAUGGAGGGGGAUAACUACUGGAAACGGUAGCUAAUACCGCAUACCAUCAGAUGUGCCCAAAUGGGAUUAGCUAGUAGGUGGGGUAAUGGCUCACCUAGGCGACGAUCCCUAGCUGGUCUGAGAGGGUGACAAGCCAAAAUGGAACUGGAGCACGGUCCAGAAUCCUACGGGAGGCAGCAGUGGGGAAUGUUGCACAAUGGGCGGAAGCCUGAUGCAGACAUGCCGCGUGUGUGAAGAAGGCCUUCGGGUUGGAAAGCACUUUCAGCGAGGAGGCGUUACUCGCAGAAGAAGCAACGGCUAACUCCGUGCCAGCAGCCGCGGUAAUAC
rnacentral:rRNA from 1 species